GUCAGAAUAGCUGAGUGGUCUAAUGCAUCAGACUCAAAGUAUUAACCUUUUUACUGCAAUGAACGUUUUGUCCUCCAAAUUAAGGAGUGGGGUCAAGUCCCACUUAUGACC